CCCGAUGCCCUAACCCACGGUUACGACUCCGACGACGCCACCCCGGCGGCCUGCUGCCCAGCUCCCUCUGCCUUCGCGCAGUGCCUCCUACCCUUUUGAAUCCGCGCCGUGCCACCCGAGUCCAGGCCGGCAGGCCCCCAGGGUGCGAGGGCGGCACCGGCGCAGGCGAACCGCAGUCCGCGCCUCCGCACUCCGCCCCAUCCGAAGCUCCGAGCAGAGCAGGAGCAGCAAAGCAAGCGAGCGUCAGACUGGCUGAAUCGAGAGGUGGAGGCAGCAACCAACAAGUUAGCAAUCCUGUUGAUCCAGUUCCGGCGCACUGUUUCUUAUGUCACAUCCAGCAACUCUGAAGGAUCUUUUCAAUCUCUAGUUCGUGUCCUAGUCUCUCCUCUCCACUGGUGCUGGCAUUGCUGUUAGGAGACCUCUGGAUUUGGGGUUAUAUUUUGGUGGGAAACCCUAAAUGUGGAUCAAUUGUUUUUUUCCUGUAGCACUAUGAAGGUCAAGAUUCUUCAGUGGCAUGCAGUGGCUUCUUGGACGUGGGAUGCACAGGAUGAGACAUGUGGCAUAUGCAGGAUGGCUUUUGAUGGCUGCUGUCCUGACUGUAAGUUCCCUGGUGAUGAUUGCCCACUCAUUUGGGGUGUCUGCAACCAUGCUUAUCAUCUUCACUGCAUACUGAAGUGGGUCAAUUCUCAAACAUCCACACCCCUUUGCCCCAUGUGCCGUAGAGAGUGGCAGUUUAAGGGCUAAGGUACUAUGGACAUCUAGAACUGCACCAAGCGACUCUCAGUUCUCAGAGAAGACUGAUGUUUUUCUGGUACUUCUGUGAUGCUUUAUUUUAACUACUACAUAUUGUUUUCCGUACUUAGUAUAAAUCCUGAUGUCAGCGCCUGAUCCUGUGUAUGCUUCCAAGCUUGUAGUGGAACAAAUGAAAUUAUUGCUUUUCUUAGGGCUGAUUUCCU
rnacentral:misc_RNA from 1 species